UCCUUUGGUUAUGGAUCACUGAAGGCACGUCCUGUCAGAUUUCUGUUCUGGUUUUUGCCAGACGGGAGCGCCGUCAACAUAUCCCUUUCUGCGAUAAGUGUUUCUGCUUGUUCUGGUGUUAUGCCGGGAUUUGAGCGGGGACAGGGUUUGGGCUAGUAGCUCAGUUGGUUAGAGCACACGCUUGAUAAGCGUGGGGUCGGAGGUUCAAGUCCUCCCUGGCCCACCACCAGGCCUGCUGCGUGAGUGGUAAUCUGGUUUUUGGGGGCAUAGCUCAGCUGGGAGAGCACCUGCUUUGCAAGCAGGGGGUCGUCGGUUCGAACCCGUCUGCCUCCACCAAAACCGGGUUUUGGCUUUUGGUGUUGAGAGUAGCCUUAUCGCAAGGGAGUGUAGAGAUCGGACACUCUGUUCUGGAACCUGCGAUAGCGGGGCUGGAAUGGUAUUGUCUGGUAAGUUUGAUCUUUGUCAGUGUGAAUCGGUUGGUGCGUAUCUGUGCGUGCUGUUUCUGUGGGUUGGUCUGACCCUCGGGCUUUUUUAGGUCCGUGUUAAGCAGGAAGAGCGUAAGCGACCAGAUACGUUUUAAGAUGAAGUAUGACGUGCUCGGAUGCGUCAUGCGGGAAGCCUUUUGUAUGUCUUAGGAUGUAUGGAUGGUUUCUGUGCAUGGGGUGAGUGAGCGCGAUAAGGGCAUUCG
rnacentral:tRNA from 1 species